AUUGAACGCUGGCGGCAGGCCUAACACAUGCAAGUCGAACGGAGUGGCGGACGGGUGAGUAAUGUCUGGGAAACUGCCUGAUGGAGGGGGAUAACGUCCGGAAACGGGCGCUAAUACCGCAUACUAUCAGAUGAGCCUAGGGCGGAUUAGCGAGUUGGUGGGGGAAAGGCCUACCAAGGCGACGAUCCGUAACUGGUCUGAGAGGAUGAUCAGUCACACUGGAACUGAGACACGGUCCAGACUCCUACGGGAGGCAGCAGUGGGGACUAGUGGACAAUGGGCGACAGCCGGAUCCAGCCAUGCCGCGUGUGUGAAGAAGGUCUUCGGAUUGUACAGCACUUUAAGUUGGGAGGCGUGACCAACAGAAUAAGCACCGGCUAACUUCGUGCCAGCCGCCGCGGUAAUUC
rnacentral:rRNA from 1 species